rnacentral:rRNA from 1 species
UUGGAGGGCAAGUCUGGUGCCAGCGGCCGCGGUAAUUCCAGCUCCAAUAGCGUAUAUUAAAGUUGCUGCAGUUAAAAAGCUCGUAGUUGAAUUUCGGGACCAUCAUGUCGGUCGUGCCUCGGUACGUACUGGUAUUGUUGGUUUCUCCCUUCUGACGAACCAUGAUGUCAUUUAUUUGGUGUUGUGGGGAAUCAGGACUGUUACUUUGAAAAAAUUAGAGUUUAAAGCAGGCUCACGCUUGAAUACAUUAGCAUGGAAUAAUGAAAUAGGACGUUUGAUUCUAUUUUGUUGGUUUCUAGGAUCGACGUAAUGAUUAAUAGGGAUAGUUGGGGACAUUAGUAUUCAAUUGUCAGAGGUGAAAUUCUUGGAUUUAUUGAAGACUAACUACUGCGAAAGCAUUUGCCAAGGAUGUUUUCAUUAAUCAAGAACGAAAGUUAGGGGAUCGAAGACGAUCAGAUACCGUCGUAGUCUUAACCAUAAACUAUGCCGACUAGGGAUCGGAUGAUGUUAAUUUUUUAAUGACUCAUUCGGCGCCUUACGGGAAAC